CCCCUAGACGUUCUGGGCUGCACGCGCGCUACAAUAAUACGCACAGCGAGUAUCACCGAGCUCGAAAGGGCAAGGUAAACAAUAGAAAAGGUACUGUAAUGGUUAUAGAUCCUUGUAAUUAUUGAUCUUCAACGAGGAAUUCCUAGUAAGUAUGUGUCAUCAUCACGCACUGAUUACGUCCCUGCCCUUUGUACACACCGCCCGUCGCUCCUAUCGAUUGAGUGAGCCGAUGAAACUGCCGGAUGUGGACUAUUCAUAGUCUGCAGAAGAUAUUUGAAUCGUAGCGCUUAGAGGAAGGAGAAGUCGUAACA
rnacentral:rRNA from 1 species